rnacentral:rRNA from 1 species
UACGAAGGGGACUAGCGUUGUUCGGAAUCACUGGGCGUAAAGCGCACGUAGGCGGAUGUGUCAGUCAGGGGUGAAAUCCCGGGGCUCAACCUCGGAACUGCCUUUGAUACAGCACGUCUCGAGUCCGGAAGAGGUGGGUGGAAUUCCUAGUGUAGAGGUGAAAUUCGUAGAUAUUAGGAAGAACACCGGUGGCGAAGGCGGCCUGCUGGGCAGUUGCUGACACUGAGGCGCGACAGCGUGGGGAGCAAACAGGG